rnacentral:rRNA from 1 species
UACGUAGGGAGCAAGCGUUGUCCGGAAUCAUUGGGCGUAAAGCGCGCGUAGGCGGCCCUGUAAGUCCGUUGUGAAAGUCAAAGGCUCAACCUUUGAAAGCCGAUGGAUACUGCAGGGCUAGAGUCCGGAAGAGGCGAGUGGAAUUCCUGGUGUAGCGGUGAAAUGCGCAGAUAUCAGGAGGAACACCGAUGGCGAAGGCAGGUCUCUGGGCCACUACUGACGCUGAGAAGCGAAAGCAUGGGGAGCGAACAGG